CAGCAAACGGCGCGUGAGGGAGCAGAGCAAAGAGAUCACAGCUCCCUCACCGCAUCUGACAGGAACUCUGCCGCCCGCCGGGGCUCCAUUAGGUGGCCAGCGGGCACCUCUUGGGCCCCCCUAUGACAGGGGGAACACAGAGGGGCGGCAUUUAGGCGGUCCACGUUCGCAGGAGUCGUGGCUGUGGCUGGGCCCCCUGCAGUGAGGGGCCCGUUUGCAGCUGCGACCCUUGGGACCAUGGUAGGUACGCCACUGCAUGCCCGUUUAUUCCCAUCAGGCAGUCCUAUCUGAGAGUUUAUGCUUACAGCUUGCGCAGCUUUAAGAGAAGGAGGGCAGCAAUAUAACAUGCCACACCCCCUCUACACAUUGUCCAACACCUUAUCCUGAAAAAAAAGAAAUAUCCAUGCACACCUGAGGUUACUUCUAAAAGGCAGUCUUUAUUUGAAACAAGGAAGUGGAGAC